rnacentral:rRNA from 1 species
GAUGAACGCUGGCGGCGUGCCUAAUACAUGCAAGUCGAGCGAAUGGAUUAAGAGCUUGCUCUUAUGAAGUUAGCGGCGGACGGGUGAGUAACACGUGGGUAACCUGCCCAUAAGACUGGGAUAACUCCGGGAAACCGGGGCUAAUACCGGAUAACAUUUUGAACCGCAUGGUUCGAAAUUGAAAAGCGGCUUCGGCUGGCACUUAUGGAUGGACCCGCGUCGCAUUAGCUAGUUGGUGAGGUAACGGGCCACCCAGGCAACGAUGCGUAGCCGACCUGAGAGGGUGAUCGGCCACACUGGGACUGAGACACGGCCCAGACUCCUACGGGAGGCAGCAGUAGGGAAUCUUCCGCAAUGGACGAAAGUCUGACGGAGCAACGCCGCGUGAGUGAUGAAGGCUUUCGGGUCGUAAAACUCUGUUGUUAGGGAAGAACAAGUGCUAGUUGAAUAAGCUGGCACCUUGACGGUACCUAACCAGAAAGCCACGGCUAACUACGUGCCAGCCGCCGCAGUAA